GGUUGACCUCGGAUCAGGUAGGGAUACCCGCUGAACUUAAGCAUAUCAAUAAGCGGAGGAAAAGAAACCAACCGGGAUUGCCUCAGUAACGGCGAGUGAAGCGGCAAGAGCUCAAAUUUGAAAUCUGGCCCCUCCGGGGUCCGAGUUGUAAUUUGCAGAGGAUGCUUCGGGUGCGGCCCCUGUCUAAGUGCCCUGGAACGGGCCGUCAGAGAGGGUGAGAAUCCCGUC
rnacentral:rRNA from 1 species